UGACAACAGUGGGUCGAGGAUAUUUCUGGUUGCGACAACCAAUCAUAUCGCCGUCUGCAACCAAGACGUAACCAAGAAUUGUUCUCGCCAACCAAUCCGAGACGCCAGUGCAACCAAUAAUUGACCAAUGAGGAUAGAACUAUGGCGGGACCUUUAAACUCGAGUCAAGAGGCCCAUGGAAAAGUGUAUUUCCUUACAGGUAAUUUUGUUCGCGAGUUUAAUUUAUUUUCUGAAGUAACAUGAGCUAUAGCGGGAUCUUUAAACGCAAGAAGAGACAAUGGAAAAAUAUAUUUCCUCAGGGAGAGAAGUAUGCCUUCCCAAGGGAUAGCAACGCAUGUAGCCUGUUUGUAUCAUAAGUGGAAGUCCAAGGCAUAUUGUUCAGGUGGUCGGGGAAUGGGAUUCCAGAGAUGGUCUUUUCCAGGCUUGACAGAGUGUGGUGUGACCGACCCUCCACCACCAUCUGCAGCCCAGUAGAGAUGGAGAGGUGAGCUGAUAGGUUUGGGGUACCUCUUCGAUCAGACUGGUUUGGUGCUGCAGGAUCACAAGGCUGCUAUUGAGGAACUGGAGACAGGUGAUCCUGAUGUCCAAGAGGAGGAUGAUGAGGGCUUUGUGGCGCUUGUGGAAGUUCAGGACCUGACAGUUCCAGUGGUGGAGACAGCCCUGCCUCUUGUUAGCACCUUUUGCCCUACUGUCACCCCCUCUACCAGCAUCCAGUCCACAGCUGCAUCAGUCAGUCCCCUGUCCUCCACUCCUUUACGGGCUACUGUCACCCCCUCUACCAGCAUCCAGUCCACCGCUGCAUCAGUCAGUCCCCUGUCCUCCACUCCUUUACGGGCUACUGUCACCCCCUCUACCAGCAUCCAGUCCACAGCUGCAUCAGUCAGUCCACUGUCCUCCACUCCUUUACGGGCUACUGUCACCCCCUCUACCAGCAUCCAGUCCACCGCUGCAUCAGUCAGUCCACUGUCCUCCACUCCUGUACGGGCUACUCCACCACCAGUUGGUCCUCUGUUCAUGACCUCCACACCUGUGCCUGACUGGUCCUCUGUUCAUGAUCUCCACACCUGUGCCUGACUGGGCCUCUGUUCAUGACCUCCACACCUGUGCCUGACUGGGCCUCUGUUCAUGACCUCCACACCUGUGCCCGGCUGACACUCAGUCAGCUCCGUCUUCUGUUCCUUACGGGCUGGGCAUUCUGAUGGAGCCAGGGAUCAAUAUUUCUUCAUUAUCAGUUAAUUAUAUAUAAUUGUAAUUAUUUGUGUUCAAUUGUUUGUCCCUCUGGUUUCAAAGGUAUUGUCCCCUUAAAUCAGUCUGGGGACAAAAGCCCUGAAUUCUCUAAUUACAUUUUGAUCAAUUAUUAAUGUCAGUCUUUCAAUGCUCCAUUGUAUAAACUAUGUAAUGUUCCUGCUUGUGUGCACUGAUUUAAAACAAUUAGAGUAUAUUUGUCGUUAUCACG